rnacentral:rRNA from 1 species
UAGGGAAUCUUCCGCAAUGGACGCAAGUCUGACGGAGCAACGCCGCGUGAGUGAAGAAGGAUUUCGGUUCGUAAAACUCUGUUGUUAGAGAAGAACAGCGCAUAGAGUAACUGUUAUGCGUGUGACGGUAUCUAACCAGAAAGCCACGGCUAACUACGUGCCAGCAGCCGCGGUAAUACGUAGGUGGCAAGCGUUGUCCUGAUUUAUUGGGCGUAAAGCGAGCGCAGGCGGUCAAUUAAGUCUGAUGUGAAAGCCCCCGGCUCAACCGGGGAGGGUCAUUGGAAACUGGUUGACUUGAGUGCAGAAGAGGAGAGUGGAAUUCCAUGUGUAGCGGUGAAAUGCGUAGAUAUAUGGAGGAACACCAGUGGCGAGGGCGACUCUCUGGUCUGUAACUGACGCUGAGGUUCGAAAGCGUGGGUAGCAAACAGG